ensembl:lncRNA
CUCCCUGUCUGCAGCAGGCACUAUAUUUGAUCAUCAGGCAUAGCGAAAAUAUUUUUCGCUGUCAUUUUGUUAAUCCGAGUGAGUUUGUCUCUUAAAAAAAAAAGAAACGAUGCAGUGUUCGGACCGCCUCCCGUGGCUUUUUCCAAAACAGGACAGUGAGCCGUGCUCUCGCUCACUCUCUUUCUCUCUCUUGCUUGUAACUUUCUGUCUCUGCCAUUUUGAUGAGGUUGAAAAAAAGUGUAUCUCUUUUUCUCUCUCACUACGUGGCGUGGAUUGGACACCGACUGGAAGGAAGGAGGGAGGAGUAGGAGCGAGAGAGAGCACGGUGCUCGCGUAGAUGGAGAGAUGGCAUAUUUGGAGAAAGAGAAAUGUGGUGUGAAAGCAGUCCUUUUCAGUCUUCACUCUUUAGACUGUUCUGUCGUCCGUAAAGCUGCUUUUUAUUUUCUGCACUGCGCUCUACUCCUCUUUCUGUAUCUGCUUCUCUUCAUUAUAAACUUUUUGCGUAACAUUUUCUAGCUUUAUUUCAUUGCUCUGUCAGUUUGUUUCUGUUUCAAUCUGUUCAUGGCUUGUUUUUAAUCGCCCCUCAGUUAGUUUUAUUCAUUGGAGUUAAAGACAAAGGGAAACGUCCACAUUUUGGCACCACUAAGGGGAGUCAGAACUGCAGCCAAGGACCCUGCUGAGAUCCAAAAAACCCCAGCACAGCGAAGCGCCAAAAAAAAAAGAAAAAAAAAGAGAAAACACCACCCUUUCCUUUGCAUGGUCACAAAUUCCACUCUCCCUGUAGCCAGGGCAGUGCCGCAGCUCCUCCUCGACCACAUCUCACCGCGUUCGACCUUUCCGCCUUCUCUUCUCAGUCGUCCACGGAACCUUUUCUGACCCAUUUUUGAGGGUUUUCGUUUUUUCUACGAUUUUUUGUGGGCAACGGAAUUGGCCUAGUCUGCACCCUAAGCCUGACUCCAUAUUGCCGCCAGGUGUAGGCUGACUCCGGUAUGGACAUCGAACCGGUCAACACCAUAGACAGAAGUCCUCCACCGUGCCUAGAAAUCAGCAAGCAAAAACAGCAAUGGGUUCUGAGUGGUUGUACAAUGCCAUGGAAACACAUUUGAAAUGUGAGACUGUGUACUGUAUGUAUGUUCAAGAUUUCGUUCCACCAACAACUUGUUUUCUUGCUGUCUGGCAGUUCUCAGAAAUAUAUCACACUGUGUCUCAGUGUAGAAAUAGGUCAAAUUAUAAUGUAAAUAUCUUUAACACUUACUCUAUUGUUCUGGAAUAACCUUUGAUUUCCGUUAGGGAGUGGCACUGUACCGUGAAUCAUGGCAUUUCUAAUUGCAACUUGUAGUGCAGACUGGGAAAGCCCUUUAUGCAGAGUUUGUGAUUUCUUAUUUCUGUGUAUUAAGUGGUAGUAAUGGGUAAACAACAAUUACAUUUGAUGUGCAGAAUAUAUAUUUAACUAAAACUAACUAAAACUGUUUAUUACUAAAAUUUCUAAUUUACUAUUUCUAUUCUCACACUCAAGUUGCAUGUACUGUACACUAUAUGUGUGUAGAUAUUUUAAAAUAUAAAUAAAGCAUUUCUGCUAUUGGUGCAUUCUCAAAUGUCAGUCACUGCAGUGUAUUUGAUCCAACAGCAGCAGUGUUGUCUGAUCUGGGCACAGCAAGCUCUACCUUUGCCUUUCAAACUGACCUUUGCUUUGAAGGUAUAAGUAUCUUAAAAUGCUAGUAAUUUGAAAUACAAGGAAUUUAUGGUGCUAAAUUUUGGUGGGAGCGCCCAUUUUAAUAAUUUCUCUAAUGAAUUAUUAAUCGAUAUACUCAAAAGUUAGUUCUCAUUGAACCACACCCAAUAAUUCUGCAUCAGAUCAUUUGAUUAAUUAUUCUGUAUGUUAGCAAUAUUCUUCCCUCAUUGGAGUAAAGUUGUUAAUUUUUUGGGAUGUAUAGUUGACCCCAUUAGUUCCACUCUCACUUACAUUUUACUUAUGUUGUACACUUGUUAUGCAAAUAAUCUAGGUCUCUGGAUUAUUUGCAUAGAUUUUUCUCAGUGUUCAGUUGCUGUACUAAUUGUGCUUUAUUUAUAUCUCUUCAAAAAGUACUUAACGUACAACCACAGGCAUCUGUAUCUGUCUUUUGUUUUAAACUGGUUUGCUAACCUGUUUUGAAAUUGGCACAUGAAAUAAAGGAAAAACACCAGUCAUAAGAA